rnacentral:rRNA from 1 species
UCGAUUCCCUUAGUAGCGGCGAGCGAAACGGGAAGAGCCCAAACCAACAAGCUUGCUUGUUGGGGUUGUAGGACACUCUAUACGGAGUUACAAAGGACGACAUUAGACGAAUCAUCUGGAAAGAUGAAUCAAAGAAGGUAAUAAUCCUGUAGUCGAAAAUGUUGUCUCUCUUGAGUGGAUCCUGAGUACGACGGAGCACGUGAAAUUCCGUCGGAAUCUGGGAGGACCAUCUCCUAAGGCUAAAUACUCUCUAGUGACCGAUAGUGAACCAGUACCGUGAGGGAAAGGUGAAAAGCACCCCGGAAGGGGAGUGAAAUAGAACCUGAAACCGUGUGCUUACAAGUAGUCAGAGCCCGUUAAUGGGUGAUGGCGUGCCUUUUGUAGAAUGAACCGGCGAGUUACGAUUUGAUGCAAGGUUAAGCAGUAAAUGUGGAGCCGUAGCGAAAGCGAGUCUGAAUAGGGCGUUUAGUAUUUGGUCGUAGACCCGAAACCAGGUGAUCUACCCUUGGUCAGGUUGAAGUUCAGGUAACACUGAAUGGAGGACCGAACCGACUUACGUUGAAAAGUGAGCGGAUGAACUGAGGGUAGCGGAGAAAUUCCAAUCGAACCUGGAGAUAGCUGGUUCUCUCCGAAAUAGCUUUAGGGCUAGCCUCAAGUGAUGAUUAUUGGAGGUAGAGCACUGUUUGGACGAGGGGCCCCUCUCGGGU